CCGUCUCUCUCCUGCAUCCUCGGAGACCAGAGUCUCGCUGCGUUUCUCCCUUCCCAAAGCGAGAGCCCGCGGGCGUUGGCGGCGCCGCGGUCUGACAGGGGAGCGGGAGCGGAGCCGUGCCGGGAUUAAGUCACUCUCGCAAGGUCACGCGGUGAAUCGCUGCCGCUGCCAAGAAUAGCGCCCCGAGUCUCUUGGCUCUCUCGAGCCCACCCGCAGCACUCCAGCCUCCUUUCCUCGGGUUAUGAAGCUUUCUGCAGCAAGAUUUGAAGCAGCCAAAUUCCAGCUUAGAUCAAAGUCCCUAGGAUUCACUUGUGAUUUCCGCCGGCUGUAACUGAAGCCUCAGUUGCCGUGAUGAUGCUCCCGGGGCAGAGCCCGAUGGCAUCUGCAGAGGGGGGCAUGGAGAACAAGGGACCCCGAGGCACAGGGAGGGACUGCAGCCCCUGUGCCCCCCUCCCCACGGAGAGACAGCAGAACAUCGUGGUGCCCUCAGAGCCAGCACGGCGCAGACAUCUCCAACAGCUAUCCCUGCCUCUGUGCACAUGCCUUGGUGCACAUGUGUCUGCCUGAGCGCUGCCGUGUUUGGAGCUGUGUGGUGGCUCUGUCAGGACCCAGGAAUGCAGCCUCAGGAACAGAACCCUGCACAGGCGAACGUGGCAGAACCUGGGCAGUGUCUGCAGCAGCAGUUAGGAAUCUGGGACUGGGAGCUGACUGUACUUGCAUUCCCAGGAGGACAAAUCACGGCCUCAAUUGCCAGGAAUAAUGCCCAGAUUUGUGGUGCUGAGAAGGUGAAGCUGCAGCGUGAGCCCCCCUGGAAUCCUCGUUGUAGGAGAAAUGCUCUGGG